UGGGGAAUUUUGGACAAUGGGCGAAAGCCUGGUCCAGCAAUGCCGCGUGUGUGAAGAAGGCAUUCGGGUUGUAAAGCACUUUUGUCCGGAAAGAAAUCCUUGGCUCUAAUACAGUCGGGGGAUGACGGUACCGGAAGAAUAAGCACCGGCUAACUACGUGCCAGCAGCCGCGGUAAUACGUAGGGUGCAAGCGUUAAUCGGAAUUACUGGGCGUAAAGCGUGCGCAGGCGGUUUGCUAAGACCGAUGUGAAAUCCCCGGGCUCAACCUGGGAACUGCAUUGGUGACUGGCAGGCUAGAGUAUGGCAGAGGGGGGUAGAAUUCCACGUGUAGCAGUGAAAUGCGUAGAGAUGUGGAGGAAUACCGAUGGCGAAGGCAGCCCCCUGGGCCAAUACUGACGCUCAUGCACGAAAGCGUGGGGAGCAAACAGGAUUAGAUACCCUGGUAGUCCACGCCCUAAACGAUGUCAACUAGUUGUUGGGGGAUUCAUUUCCUUAGUAACGUAGCUAACGCGUGAAGUUGACCGCCUGGGGAGUACGGUCGCAAGAUUAAAACUCAAAGGAAUUGACGGGGUCAUAGCUG
rnacentral:rRNA from 1 species